rnacentral:rRNA from 1 species
CCUACGGGUGGCUGCAGUGGGGAAUAUUGGACAAUGGGCGAAAGCCUGAUCCAGCCAUGCCGCGUGUGUGAAGAAGGCCUUCGGGUUGUAAAGCACUUUCAGUGGGGAAGAAAGCCUUGGGGCUAAUACCCUCGAGGAAGGACAUCACCCACAGAAGAAGCACCGGCUAACUCCGUGCCAGCAGCCGCGGUAAUACGGAGGGGUGCGAGCGUUAAUCGGAAUUACUGGGCGUAAAGCGCGCGUAGGCGGUCUGAUAAGCCGGUUGUGAAAGCCCCGGGCUCAACCUGGGAACGGCAUCCGGAACUGUCAGGCUAGAGUGCAGGAGAGGAAGGUAGAAUUCCCGGUGUAGCGGUGAAAUGCGUAGAGAUCGGGAGGAAUACCAGUGGCGAAGGCGGCCUUCUGGACUGACACUGACGCUGAGGUGCGAAAGCGUGGGUAGCAAACAGGAUUAGAUACCCUGGUAGUC